AAGGUCAGCGCUCACGAGCAAAGACCGCUCCUACUCACCUUAGAUUCGGGGGACGGAUUCAGACUUCUAAAAACUACUAAGGGAAAAAGGAAAAGGACUUAGGCUCGGGGUCUCUGGCUAUCGCAAGUAGCUUACCCGACCUCGCGCUGCCGAGGUCGAAUCGGCAUGAGGAAAAAGAAAACAAGACAUUUAGGAAAAAAGCUUAAAAAGAGCAAUUACACAAAUAUCUACAUUCAACAUUAACAUUGUAUAAUACAAGGCCUACUGGCCUCAACACCCACAAAAAAAAAGAAAACUAAGAGUCCUACUACUCUGUCCGCCCAGGUCCUUGAGCUCCGAGGGGAGGAAGCUCCACCUCAUCAUCGAAGAAGGCGGCC
rnacentral:lncRNA from 1 species